rnacentral:rRNA from 1 species
GACGAACGCUGGCGGCGUGCUUAACACAUGCAAGUCGAACGGAAAGGCCCUGCUUUUGUGGGGUGCUCGAGUGGCGAACGGGUGAGUAACACGUGAGUAACCUGCCCUUGACUUUGGGAUAACUUCAUGAAACUGGGGCUAAUACCGGAUAGGAGCUCCUGCUGCAUGGUGGGGGUUGGAAAGUUUCGGCGGUUGGGGACGGACUCGCGGCUUAUCAGAUUGUUGGUGGGGUAGUGGCUUACCAAGGCUUUGACGGGUAGCCGGCCUGAGAGGGUGACCGGCCACACUGGGACUGAGAUACGGCCCAGACUCCUACGGGAGGCAGCAGUGGGGAAUAUUGCACAAUGGGCGGAAGCCUGAUGCAGCAACGCCGCGUGCGGGAUGACGGCCUUCGGGUUGUAAACCGCUUUCGCCUGUGACGAAGCGUGAGUGACGGUAAUGGGUAAAGAAGCACCGGCUAACUACGUG